AAGAUCUUGCUGCUCCAGGAGGCUGCAAAGAAUUACAACCUAGAGCCCGAGGGAGCGAUUUGGGGCCUCGUUCCAGGACAUGGAGUUGCUCAACGAGAAUGAGAGCUACAACCUGUCCUGCCAGCCAGAUCCCUAGACCUAGUUGGCCUGCAGAAUAUGCAAGGCCAAGAAGAACCGGCCAUCAUCAAGGUCAGGGCCCCCAGGCCCCAACCCCAAACCCCGUACCAGUGGCCGAUCACAGCGCCAUCCUCAGCAGCGGGGACACAGCUGGGAUGCUUGCGAUGCACAGGGCCAGCUCCUCCCACUUGAUGGGAAGGGGAGCAUUGUAAGCUGAUUCCUGGGGUCCCCUGAAGCCCAAGAGAGAAGGGACGACCCCAUCCCAGCUCCCUGACAUCUCUACCUCAGCACCUACUCACCCAUUGGGGAGGGUCAGUGGUUAUUUGUUGUAAAUAAUAAAUGACAUAUUUGAA